rnacentral:rRNA from 1 species
UACGUAGGGUGCGAGCGUUUAAUCGGAAUUACUGGGCGUAAAGCGUGCGCAGGCGGUUCGCUAAGACCGAUGUGAAAUCCCCGGGCUUAACCUGGGAACUGCAUUGGUGACUGGCGGGCUAGAGUAUGGCAGAGGGGGGGUAGAAUUCCACGUGUAGCAGUGAAAUGCGUAGAGAUGUGGAGGAAUACCGAUGGCGAAGGCAGCCCCCUGGGCCAAUACGUGACGCUCAUGCACGAAAGCGUGGGGAGCAAACAGG